rnacentral:lncRNA from 1 species
GUAUCCUCAUCUCUUUUGAAAUGUUUACUCUGCAGAGGUGGGGUUUCAGUGGCUAAGAGCACUAGCUGUUCUUGCUGAGGACCCAGAUUCAGAUGCCAACACUCACAUAGGUGAUUCACAACCUCCUGCUCCUGUAAUUCCACUUCUCAUGCCUCUUUUGACCUCUGCAGACACUGCACCCACUUGGUGCACACAUACACUGAGCGUCCACAAACACUAGAGAUAUAAUUGCAUAUAUGUUUUUAUCUAGUGAUACAGUAUAUACAUAUUAUAUAGUAUAUAAAACAGUUGUUCAUAAGUAGCAUAGACACCAUUUACUUGAAAAAAUAGAUUUAAAAGAUUGUGCUCUAACAAUAGUAGGAAGAGCAUGUGUUUGGGAUAGAAGUGUGAAUUCAGAGCUCAGUUCCUUGCCCAUUGAUAGGCAAAAGUAAACCAAUCUUUCUGAGUUCAAAGCCAGCCUCCACUACAUAGUGAGUUUCAGGCAAGCCAGGGCUACACAGUGAGAUCCUGUCUUGAACAAAACAAAAACAAUCCCAACAUCUGCGGUAACUUAGUAUAUGAUUUGGGAUAGUGACUAGGUCUUUAUUCCACAAAUCCCCUGUAACGUGUUUAAAUGUAUUCGUGUAGCUGUAAUAAUAUGUCACAUCCUAUCCCCUCCUCCCCAGUGGAUCUUAAAUAAGGUUCCAUUUCCACCACAUGCAGGAAUGGUCUUCCUCCAUCCUAACUCAGAAAUGUUUUCUUCGUUUGGUCUUACUCUCUCCCAGGGUGCUAUCACAUAUGUGCCCUGGGUUGAUUCCUUUUUUAAUUCUUCCACUCUGAACUGCUCACAAAACAACAUAAGAUUCUUGCAUAAGAACCGUCCUCAAGUUGGAGUUGUAGCCCAGUGGUAGAGUGCUGCCUAGUGUGCACCAGGCCUUGGCUUUAAUUCUCAGCCACAGUACUGGAGAGAGAGGUGGAGAGGGGAGAAAAGAAGAAGGGAGGGAGAGAAAAGAGCCUGACCCUU